GGGUGUCAGCUCGCUGCAGCCUGUGGAUUGCACCCCCCCCCCCCGGUGCUGCUGCAACCCCGCGCCCCACGGCUAGGAGCGGUGGCGUCUCUGCAGCCAGCUGCGGCUGGGGGGGACCCGCGGCCGCUCCUCCCUCCUCCGAGCAUCCCCCGCGGCUCCGGCAGAGCCUCCGUCUCCCCCCCGGGCCGCGCAAGGAGCCCCCCCGGGGGCUGCCUCCCCUCCCCCUGCGGAGCCGUGGCCCGGCGGCUCCCGGCGCAGGGGAAAGUUUCUCGGCGCGCGGCGGCGGCGGCGGCUCCCGGGAGCCCGAGCUCCCCCCCCCGCCCCAGCCCCCGGGAAGGGCCCGCGCUGCAGCGCCCCCUGCAGCCGCCCGGCCCGAGCUGCCGCAGCCUCGCCGGGUCCGGCUGGGGUGGGGCGGGGGGCGCGCCCCCCCGGUAGCAUUUCUCCUCCAGCCCGGCCAGAGAGGGAGCCCGCGGCUGGGAUGCAGCCUCGCAGGGCUUUCAAGAGGCCACCAAACAGACUUUCAUGUCAAGUGAUAACGUGGAGACCUCCUGGGGAGAGGAAACAAGAGGGUAACCUAGAGAAACAUUACACAGAACUGUUGAGAAAGACGCCACCUCCAUCAACCUGAUACUCAGAAGCUGACACAGACCAGCACAAGGCUGAAAUAAAGGGCGGAAAUUGGUGGACACCUGAUGGCCUGAGAGUGCAGGAGGAGAGCGAGAGAAAGAAGAGCUCUGAUCGCCGCCCCUAUCCCUUUCUAUUCCUGACCAGCUGUGGAGCUGAUUGACGAAUAUAACCUUUCGCUGAGCAGCAACGUGGCCAUACGCCCCAGCGAACAUUCUGACUGGCGCCCACAGAGAAACGCCGCUGUGCAUUGUGCCGGGGCUUCGCGUCUGACUGUUACCAAAUGCUACAGGCCGGCGUGGCUGAAAAGGAAGGUUCAGAAGACCCGAAACAAGCAAACAAGGUGCCUUUAGCACUGGGCAUGUGCCCUCAAAGCCCACAUCAACCGUGGCGUGGAUGCAAACGGCUUUCUAAGUCCCUAAAGGGAGAUUAAAUUGUGCUGUGAAAUGCCCAGGUGAUUCAUCGCUCGUCACGGCGUGCUUGGCUCUCGUGGCAAUUUCCAGUCGUUUCCAUGGCAGAAGCCAUCGCUGGAGGAGGGAGAGAGCCAAUCAGGAGCCGCAAACAGCUGUCAAAUGGCCAGAAGGGCUAGCCGGGCGGCUGGCUCUCCUCGUUCAGGGAACGUAGGGCUCCAACAUUUGACUAGCUGCUCGGAUCAAAAAGGGGGGAUACUCUUUUGCAGCAUCAGAGGUAUCCGAAAGAGUGAGGAAGAAUUGCCUGGCUUUGGCUCUCACAGCACCCAGCCCUUCCCUGCCGGCACUCAGCAGCGCUGCACAGCUUCCCAAGGACCACAGCUUCCCAAGGACCAGGCCCUGCUCAGGGGAGCAGCCCGCCCCUCUAGGCCCCAUGGAGGGUGUCGCACGGGGAGCCACCGGGCUUUCCCUGGAAGCAGCGUCUGGCUCGGCAGCUCAUUUCCUAAACACGCUCCUGCAGAAACAGCCCUGGGGAGCCACCUGCUACAUUUCACCAACCCAUCACAGACCAACCUGCCCAAGCUCCUCUCGCAUUGUUGCUCGCUGCUCCAUUGAGACAGCUACAGCUCCCUGAAACUUUCCUUUGCUGACCCACCCAUGGCCUCUCUGGCACGGCACCUCAAUGCUGCACUGGGCCCCUGCAUCCUUCUCUCCAGCCACCCAAGCAAUCCCUGACCUCAGUUCAAAUGCUGGACCAAGGUUUCUCUGGCCCUGAAUCCCCACAGUCCCCUUCCUAUCCCUGAGUCUCUCCAGGCUCCACACAGAUUCCUCCCUGACCCCACCUUUGCCUCUGUCCUGCCCAGCUGUGGGAGCCGUACCUGAGUUAUGUAAUUGACCCGCUGACACCCGUGACCCCUAGUGAAUGGCUCAAAGUGGUGGGUAUUUUUCCCAGCAUAUACACCAGUAAUUGCAGGCAGUGUGUACAAAACACUCUGCUCUGAGCCCAGAGAUGCUACUUUGGCAAGAAAGAAAACAAUGAUAAUCAUAAUUCUACAGCUGGGUUUCUUGAAACCACAUUUUAAAGGGCUGGAAAUGUACCCUCCAGCAGAGCCUGUGUGACAUGCACCAGGUAUCUGCUCCCCCACCCAACCCUCAAGAUGGCUGCAAGAGAGAAUCUGGGGACAAGGCCUGCCUGCUGGUUCCCAUGCAGUGUCACCGACUGUCCCUGGCGGGUGCAAGGCCUGCCUGCUUGGGAGACCCUGAGAGCAGCUGGUGCAUGGACUCGUAGCGUUCCUGGGAGACGACAAAGCAGGCGAGUGGGUAAGAGACUCAGGGUAUAUACCGGACUAGGUGCUGUGUGCUGAGAAAAUGCACUGUGCAUCAUACAUCCCCUAGACGCUCCAGGGACGUGCACUUUAGAGGUGCGUUGUGUUAUCGCAGACAUCAGCUGAGACCUGAUGAAGAGCUCCGGGUGGCUCGAAAGCUUGUGUCCAGUAAAAGCUAUCACCUCCCCCACCCUGUCUCGCCAACUGACCAGAGUAGGUGGGAGUGGAUAAAUGCAACACUCCCAAGGCAGCACCUGGGACUGGGCUAAGGAGGAAAUACCAGGGGGCUAGUGAUCUGUCCCCUUUCCCAGACCUGGCUCUGUGCCACAGCGGAGAAGAAUGAGCCCCACCACCUGGGCUUGCAUCUCCCACUCAGAAACCGGACAUCAGCGGAAGCUGGGGACACUCCAGCACCUCUCAGGAUCAGGCCUCAUGCCAUGGGGAGAGCGCUCACAUGGCCUGGUGAUUCUGAAGCACAGUAAGUGGACAGCAGAUGUUUGGUGAGGGGCUGAGGCCCCAGGUGGCCUUUGCUACCAGUGAGCAGGGCCAUUGCUUCUGUCAAUUAAUCUGCCUUUCCAGCUGGAUUCAGCAAGGAGCCAGCAAUCCCUCUCCCGCCUCCCCCCGCCCACCCUGAGUUUAGCAGGCAGCUCUCACGCUUGUCCGUCCUCAGGAGGGGGAACGCAAGACAGUCUGGGUUGCCAACGAGUGCCAGAGCGGCUCCACAGAGGCAUCAGUCACUGGCACCCGCUGUCUGCACAGGGGCCAAGUGUGUACUCAGACGAGAAAACAAGCUGGACAUGGCCAUCGCCACAGGAUUCGAACACAAGAGGGUGGGGGUGCUACAAGCCUUUGGGUCCUGCUUUGAGAUCCCGCGGUCGCGGGUUCGGUCCCUGCUCAGUGACUCAGCCAGGGGCAUGGUGGAACAGGAGCAAUAUUGAUUCUCUAACACUCUUUAUACCACCCCCUCUUGAGGCCUUCUGAACUCAUGACAGUGUCUCAAGCCUAGAAAUGCUGUCAGGAGUGAGUCUGAGGACCCGCUGGCGGGGGGAAUGGGUUUAUGAUACUUGUUGGGUGAGGCUGGCACCCCAGCACCCACUGGGGCCUGCUCAGCGUCCGAAGCACUCGCUCCCCCAGAUGGAAACAUUGGGCGGAAGGGGAGCCGCUCUGGCGCAGCACGGGAUGACAUUUUGAAAUCCACCCGUCGGGAUUUGACCUUUAAUCCAGAGCAAUGUUGACAUUUCUAGGAUGUCAGAAGAAAUCAAGCCUGCUUGACUAAGUGCAGAGCGGGACAGGGAUUGGAGGGGGUUGAAAUGGCAGCGUGAUGCUACCGGAGAUGGGGUUGGGAAGGGGUGUCGCUCCCUGGAUGCCUGCAUCCACGGGAACUGGGGCUCUCGCCAGCCAGGGGCUGAGUGCUAACCCACACACAGAUGCAGCAACCAGCACCAGUGCUUAUGGCCCAUGAGACCCCUGUGCAGCCUGCAGAGGACCCAGAGCCUGAUCCUAUGCAGUACUGAGCUCCCCCAGCUCCCCCAGGUGUCGGUGGGAGUGGUAUUGAUUUCAUGGGCCUAAAUACCUUUGAGGAUCUGGGCCUCUCAGGAUCAGUCCCUUAUAUACCCCCUGACACUCGGCCAGGCUUUAAUCUCCUCCCAGUCCAUCCCCACACAGAUUCGUUUUGGGGGGGAGGGUUAAUUUGCCUCAUACCCACCCACUAGGCCGAGGUCCUGUUCCCAGUCAAGUCCAAUGGCAAAACAGCCCUUGAUAUCAAGGAGAAAAGUAAUGGGUGCUUUAAUGCCACAUUGGAGGCAGUGUGGCCUAGUGGAGGGAGCCUGGGACUCAGGAGACCUGGCUUCUAAUCCUACCUCUCGCCUGCUGGGUGAUCUUGGGCACAUCACUGCCCCGCUCAGUGCCUCAGUUUCCCUAUAUGCAAAAUGGAGAGAAUGUUCCUGACCCUCUUUGUAAAGCACUUUGAGAUUAUGGAUGAAAAGAGGUAGGCAUUACUAGAUUAACGUGCUUCCCGGAGAGCGCUAAUUACUCAUCUCCCCCCCCCGCCCAUGCUGGUGUAACUCCCAUUUCUGUUUUUUAUUUCAUGGGGUUCAGCCCGUAACCCUUAUGGCUGUAAUUCCAGCUGCUGUUGCUAGUGGUGCUCCCACAGGGGGCAGUACAGAGCCUGGCGGGAGGGCAGUUGCCAUUUCAGCCCCCUAGAGGGAGCGUGCGAAGUUUGUGCUCAUGCCCAGUAGCUGUUUGGAAGCUAGUGUGGAAGGCUCCAUUAAGGGCAGCAUCCCCGCUUGUGCCCACAUCUCCCCUUAAUUAGAAGCUGGGAGCUCUGCCGGGGUCAGGUGCAGCCUAGACCUGCAGGGAGGAGGCAGAGCUGCCAGGGGUGACCCAGACUGAGCUGUGGGGUGGAUCUCAGUGCAGUGCACGGGUUAGUUGGAUGUUAUGGGUCUGCAGCAGGCAGUGCUAUGCGAAGGUGUUUGUACAGUCCUUCGUCCCAAGAAGGAAAAUAAGUUGGUUUUUAUAUUGCAGUGGAUUAGGGACUGGGAAAUUAGCUACUUGCCUGAAAGGCUGAGGCCUUACCCGUGUUAGAAGUCGGUAGGUUUCAGUGGUAGCCGUGUAAGUAAGUGGGGCAGUUGUGUUUGUGGGACUGUAUCUAUUGUGGAAGCACAGAGCAUGACCUUGUGCCCUGACUGGUAGAGCAGCUGUCCAGCCCAGCCCUGCAGGGAGAAGAUCGAGCUGCUGGGGGUAACCCAGACAGAUCUGUGGGGUGGAUCUAGGGUUCCGGGCAGUGCCUCAUUACAAGGGACGUCUCUUGUCUUUUCAUCGCUGUACCACAAGAACGGGAGUUGCUGAGUGCUACCAAAGGCAGCAAGAAAUAUCCCUGGUGAAAGUAAGUGAGUCCUGCUUAGUAGUAUUAUGAAUAGUGGUGAUAAUAAUAAUAAUAAUAUCAGGAGGGGGAGGUGCUAAGAAAACAAUCCCUUGUUUUGAAAUACAAUGUUGGCAAGCCUGGUUGGAUCUCCGUACAGAUUCCUGUAAUUUUACACAGGUCAGUGGGAUCGAGACGGGGAAAACCCCAUAAAGGCGUAAUUGCAGACAGGAGGCCAGAUGUCUUCAGGAGGUGUGCCGCAUCCCUGAACCAGAGACCGUGCGUGAGCCUGACAACUACGCGCAUUGUCCGGUUUCUCCCUUUCUCACUGGAAGUUGCGUCUGUGCCCAGUAGUAUGGAUGCUGAAACAACUGAGUAUGUAGGACAGCUACAUGUUUUAUUUUAAUUGUCACCAUAAUACGCAGGGCGAGCCUAGGUGAAAGAAGAUCUCCAGUUGUCAGAGGUCCCAGCCCCUGCAUUGAUUUGGGAAGGUAGUCUCUGUAUCUGGGGUUCAGGCCCUGUGUUCUGUCCUUCAUGUCAAAGGAAAAACAGCACAUCUCUAGUUAGUGAUGUUAGUUUACCCAGGGGCUGCUGCAGUUACGGGGGUGCAGUGGCUUAUCUGUCGAGUGUUAUUCGUAAGAAGGAAUUAGAAAUUAGUGUCUGUGUGUGUGUGAAUCCGAUUAUAAUUUCCACUGUUAGUAUUUAAAAGGUGUUUUUAGAAAACCCAGCCGUUGUCCCUCUUGCAAGGAUAGGAAUUCAUGAUCUGUGCAAAUACUUUGUCAAAGAGAAGAAUGCUGUGGCACAGAAUUGGCAAGUUAACUGACUUACCUCCCCUCUACCCAGGCUAUACUGGGACUUAGCCUCCCAGAUUCUUGGUGGUGCUUUGCAGGGCCGGGGCUCUGCAGCCACAUCCUCCGGGGAGGGUGGGAUGAUGCUGCUCCAUUAUCCCUGCUCCCUGUUUCCUAUCGCUGGGAUGGAGCAAAUGCCCCAGCACUGGCUGUGCGUCCCAGCCUCAUCUGCGCGCCCCGGGAGAAUUCACACUGGAGUUCAUAGGCUCACCCCAAAGGCUUUCUUCCCAUACCACGAAUACCGGGAUGCCUUGCCAGCCAGAACACUAACCCCUGUGCCUUCCCCUUUCAAUCCCUGCUUCGCUGGAGGAAAACCUCUGGAAUGAAGUCACUCAUGUUGGAAUUAACACAGGGCCUGCCCUUUACUGGGAUCAAUCUCAUUUGCUUUAGGCAGGUAUUACUGGAUAAUCCCAGCCCUGGGGUUUUGGCCGUCCCUAUGGGCCAGGCUGUGCCUCUCUUAAUCACGGUGAGCAGCAUCUGGCUCUGUGAGCAGCCCCAUUGAGUUCAGCAGGAGAACUGGCAGGCUGAGGCGCUGGUCACUCCAAGUAGCCCUGGCCCUGGAUGGGGUAGUGAGGAAAGAACCAACAUCCUUAUUGAUUGAGGCUGAGCCUUGCAAAGGGAGUUAGGCACCCAGUGAAUUUUCGAGGGACGUAAGCAUCCAAUGCCCUUAGGCAGCUUUGUAAUAAUCAGCCUUGAUUCUUAGCAGGUCCUCAGAGGAAAGAUAUCCCUGAGAGAGGAAGGAUAGAAUAUUUCCUCCCCUGAGUCUCUCCAGGGCUGUCACCUGUGCUGUCAUGGUGCCCCUGGUAGAUCGCUCUGUGCAAUGGGUGACGUGGGGCUUUGCUGGCCUUCCCAUUCUGCAGAGCACUUUGUAAGAGAAGGGUCUCCACUGCUUGGCUGCUAAGAUAUUUCCCUCCGCUGGUCCAACACAAAGAGCUCCAGGGGCCACACGUAACCCAUUGGUCACUGCCUCAUCAGAGACCACUUACAAACUGGGGCAGGACAUUGCAGCCCCACCGCGGGGACCUCGGUGACACACAAGAGUUUAGUCUCCUGAGGCCUGAAACGCUUUAGUUUAACCCAAGUCACUAGGGUCAGUGCAGGAGAAACAGAGUGAAAUCGACGGGGUUGUGAUGGGAGGUCGGGCGAGAUGAUUUGGCAGUCCGUUCUGCCCUGAAACUCUCUGGAACUGUGACACACACGCUUGGAAACAAUAACUACGUAAGUGCUGACAGAAAUCUUGACAGCACUUAGGCAGUCAGUGUGCUGCGGCCACUGUUGGUGAUGUUGACCAGUAUUGUCUCAUUGUUUCCUUGUGCUUCCCUGCCUGUAUCCACCUGUUGGCCUUUGCCUUUUACUUAAAUUGUAAACUCUUUGAGACAGGGACUGUCUUUUUGUUCCAUGUUUAUACAGCCCUAGCCCAGUGGGGACCUGGGCUAGGACUGCAGUUCCUGGGUACUACUGCAUUACAAAUAAUGAAUUAUAAUAAUCAAUCAUAAUAAUGGCUGGGUGCUGUUUAGCAGCUGCCAGGUCUCACCCAGAGGAGGCUGCAUCUGAGUGGUGGGCAAAGCAACCCUUAUGCAUGAGUUAUAUAUUAAAAUGACAGCCACGCUCUGCACUUCUCAAACAUCUUUCCUUCGAGGAUCGCACGCUGCCUUACUGUGACAGAAUGCCUUCACACCUGGCACACUGUUUUGUAAUAAUCUUUGUAAUAUGAAUAUGCCUUGUAAGGUAUAAUUUGAAAACCAAUAACUUGCUGAUCAGUAAUGUCAUGGGGAAACUCCGGAGAUUUUUAAAUAGGGUCAUCUAAGCUAUUUUAUUCAGCGCUCUGAAUGGAAAAUGUGUGGGGCUCUCCCACCCCAAACAACCAAUUCACUAAAAAACCAACCUGGAAUAACAACAACAAUGGUCUAGCAUUCAUGGCAACCCUACAGUAAACAAACCAGUGAAGGAACAGCAAUCUAGAUGCAGGACUAGCUGCCACAGAGCUGUAACAGGGCAGUGGGAUUUAUUUUACAGACAGAAUCAGCAUCUCUCUCGCUGAUGAUUUAUAGCCCUGACAGCUCAGGCUUGCUCUGGCUAGAGUGAACCAAACUUAUCUGUGUCCAUGCCCCUCUCUGUAUCAGGAAUUCAGUCUUUAUCUGGACCAGUGUGGUCCAAUGGAUAAGGCACUGGCCUGGGAGUCAGGAGAGCUGGGUUCUAGCCCAGUUGUGUUACUAAAACUGAGUGUGUGUCCUUUAGCAAAUCAAUCUGCCACUCCUGCCUUGUCUCAUUAGACUAGAAACUCUUCAGGGCAGGGACUGGGACUGGCUGUUCCCACUGUCACGCACAGCACCUUACACGAGUAAGUUAGCGUCUCUAGGCACUGAUGAAAUACUGACAGUGGCAGGAGCCCCCCAGACAGCUGCUAGGCGCUCUGCUGUCGUGAAUGGGGCUGAAUAGCCUCGAUUCCUCAUUUUAACCCGGCGCCUUAAACUUCCCGCAAUGCGUGCCGUGUGGUUGAACUGGCUCAGCCUUUGAUUUACUUCUGCAGCAGCUUCCCCAGACAGCUGCCAGGGUUGCCUUUCAGGCGUCCUCAGUCUUUUCUAAUCAGCCUCACUUGGUUGGCACAUCCGAGGCUUUGCUUGGGAAUACAAUUCAAUUAAGGCUUUCACGCUUUUGAAAUGGAAAUUCCUCCACGAGCUGACGGGCCUUCCUGCCAGUGGGCUCUGCUGUACCUGACAGCAGCCUCCUGGGAGGUGGGGGGAAUAAAGGAAACCCUGUUGGUUUCUUGGGAAGGGGUUGGCCUGUCUCCUUGCAGCUUGACUUUCUGCUCUCCCUUGCCACAGAGCUCCGGUCAUCAGCUCCUGAACAAUGACACAAGGUCUCCGGUGCAUCUGGGAGGUGUCAGAGCAGGGAUCUGAUCUCUGCUUUCUAAGGGAACUCAUGUCACAGCAGCCUCCUUCCCUCUGUCUCUCUGUACAUACCGCAAAGGAGGAGUAAGCAGAAAGGGUCGGACAUCAAGAGCAGAUGGAUGGCGCUAGCCAAGUUCUCUCCCGCCCCCACCUCCCUGCUGUAUAUUUCAGUCCUUCCCCCAUGUGCCUGAUCUCUUUUCAACCACAUUUAUGGCAUUGGCUUUGAUGGUCUCGCUCAGCAACUUAACCCCUUGUUUACUUCCUUCUGGUGCUAUGGGUCGGCUUCAAAUGCCCCACACAACCUUUCCUCCCAGGGUACAGCUCUUUGAUAGCUCGGAAAUCAUCCAGGGUUGUUUUUAUGCCCAAACAUCCUGCCGCUGGAAAGGGGAGCCAAAGAACUCAGCAUCUCCUAGAGAAAGGCGGAGGAGGCGGUGCGGUUGGUGAUUUGUAUUCGCUCCUCCUGUGGCUGCAUCUAACGCUAAACUGAGCCUUUUCUACUGCGGCCAGGCACCAGGCUGAGGGUUAAAAGGUUUUCUCCCCCCAAACCCUUGAGCUGCCUGGAGGGGGCCGCAGCAUUGGUUUGCUUUCCUGCAAACAAAAGGAGUUAGAGGGAGGGAAAUGAAUACUUGGGCUGCUCAUUCCGAAGAGUUAUUUUUGGCUAGUUGAUCUUCACAGGUAAGGCACAUCAGGUUAGCUUCAGCUGCUCUGUAGCCGCCCCACUGAGCUGACAGUGCCCAGACUACAGCCCCCUGGGCCUGCAUGGCACCCCAUUGACUUCAGAGCUCAUGGCAAGAUCAGGCCCCGGAGUCUUCUGUGUCAUCCUCUGCCUACCUGGAGCCCCAGUUCGGAUCUGAUCUGAAGCCCACUGGGAGUCUCUGUGUUGACUCAGGGAGUGGUGUCCUGCUUCAGUGCACUUCCCAUGUGGUACUUCAAUAUAAUUGCACCUAGCUCUUACACAAGGCUUUUCAUCCAUAGAGCCCAAAGAAGCACUUUACAAAGCAGGUCAGGAUCAUGAUCCUGGGGGAACCGAGGAACCAGACUGGGGAAACUGAGGCACCAGGAGGUGAAGUGACUUUCCCAAGGUCGCCCAGUAGCAGAGCUGGCACUAGCACCCAGGUGUCCUGAGUUCUAGGCCAGUGCUCUGUCUUGUAGGCUACUCUGUCUAGUCUUGAAACUCCAGUGCCCUGGUCAAAGUCAUUUUAGAAUAACCAUGGUCCGUUUACCUGUUAGAGAAUUAUAGAAUUGUGGGGCUGGAAGGGACCUUGAGAGGUCAUCUACCCCAUGCCCCCAUGCUGAGCCAGGUUUAAGUAACCCCGGACCAGUGUUUCUCAACAACCAGUUCAUGAACUGGCACCGAUCCCUGAGAUUUUUUUCUGACACAGUUUAGGAAGGCAGCAAGCUGGUCCCUGGCAUCAAAAAGGGUGAGAAACACUGACCAAGACCAUCCCUGACAGGUAUUUGUCUAACCUCGUCUUUAAAACCACCAGCCACAAAGAUUCCACAUCCCCCUCGGUAACCCGUCCCCGUGCUGAGCAAUCUUUAGAGUUAGAAAGUUUUUCCUAAUACCCAGCUUCAAUCUCCCUGCUUGCAAAGUAAGCUGCUUCCUUCUUGUCCUGCUCUUGGUGGACAUGGGGAACAAUUGAUCGCCGUUCUAACCCUCACCUCUUCUCAUUGACACAGAAGGAAUCGCAACCACGAGUUGACUCAGCACUUUUGCUGCUGUUCUCUUCCUUGCUGAAUUUCACUCCAUUUGAGCCAGGCAGACGGUUAAUGGCUUUGCAGCCAGGUCACCAUUUGCAGCCCCGGGCCUGGCCUGAUUUCAUGCCGGGAAUUUAGCAUCUCAAGGAAGGGAGCUGUUCACUUUAGCACAGUUGAUUUCCCCCAUCAAGGGUGUCCAGUGCACAGAAGGAACAGAGUCAGGAUUCUACCCACCGAGCUAGUGCUUCCCCCCUCCCCCAUCCUUAAACCAAUAAGCACAAAAGGGGAAACUUCUCAAGUGUGUUUGACAACUUUAAAGUCCUUGUCAAUUCAGGGCAUUUGCCUCCAUUCCGGGCAGCUGCACCCGUGUGAACCCCUAGUGCAGAGAGGCAAAGCUCUUUGCACCGAUGCUCACUUUUGCUUGAAACUUGCCACCGCAAGGUGUCUCCUUGGCGGUCCCUCGGCCUCUCCUGUUCUUUGCCUGGGGCACAUGCAGUUGUCUCCCGAGGACUGAAAUGCUUUAGUUGAACUCAAGUUAUUCGGGCUCAGUGCAGAGGGAUUUGGGUGCAAUGGAACAGCCUUUGCUAUGCAAGAGGUCAGCUCUAUGCAUCUAUGAAACGGGGAUCAAGUCCCCCUGGUGCAAACGGCAGCUUUGUCUGUCUGUGUGAGGGGCUGGCCCCAAUGCAGGUGCCACCAGUGGCUGGAAUCGGGGCAGAUCCCCGUUGCAGCUGAGGCCUCGAUAUCAUCCUCAGCAUGUCCUUCUUGAACAUCACCAGUAAGAAAGGCUCCAUGGCACCAAUUCUACCUUCAAUGCCUCCCAUCGAGACCACCUGUCUGGCGCUGCCUCUGAUGGAUUUCCGCUGCUAUACCCGCCCGGGGGUAAGCAAGUGAUUCCAGUGCAGAUUCACAAGCGGGAAUAGACUCCAGCUUGCUCUUGCCUGAGCUCUGCCGGGCGAAGGAGCGUAAAAGGCAGGAAAGAUCUUAUUUAUCACUGAGGCCAGCGGGUAGGAGUGACCCCCACUGGGAACAGAUCUGUUGGGUAGCAUGGGGCCGUUUCUACACCGUCGCUUUUCAAAACAGAACUGCCCUGAAAGCGACAGAGGCAAAUGCGUUAAGCAACGCAUCUGCUCUGCAUCCCCUUGCAGCUCGUGGUCGUAGGUCAAGAGUGAGGUGCAAGAAGCAGCCGGAGUGCAGCAGAGAAGGUUGGAGCCGCUAACGGGGGCGUUCAGAGAGGAUGCAGCGAGGUGGGACUAGACCCAGCUGUAGGAUGGAAAGCAACGAGGGGGUAACGCGGCCCAGGAGAAGAGCAGAGGGUAUCGACAGCAGUGCAAUAACAGAGGCGGUUGGGCCCCUGCAGCCAGGACAUGGCCAGAUAGGGCAGAAGGGAAUGCAGCCUAGCCACGGCCAGAUGUGACCAAACAGGCCAGAAAUUGGCGAAGACGCAUGCUGGGGACUGCGGAAAAAUCCCCAUCUCUGAGAACCGUCUGCUCUCCCGAUAUCUGCGGCGGUAUUAAUUAGAUAAUGCGAGAGCAAAGCAGGCCAUUAGCAAUCAAUUACAACAAAGCACUGGCAAUAAAUGCAGAUAAUUAGGCUCCCAAAAAGUAAUUACGUUUGUUCCACUCCAGUGAACUUUUUAUUUUAAUAGUAAUUAACUCCGGCUGGGGGCAGGGAGGGGAGGUUUUCAUGACUUGCUGCGACCAGCCCAGUCUGCAUGAAAAAUGGAGGGUGUCUUCUUCUAGCUAUGGACUUUCCCUGUUCUCCUUGAAACUUUUAUAUGCUGGAGGCCGCUCCAAACAGAUCUUUUUUGGGUCACAUUUUCCAGAUAGGCGUCACCUAGGACGUGGAACCCGAGGAUUUACCACAGAUCAUCAACAUGCUCUUUUGCCCGGUCAAACCAUCCCUGAAGUUUCCUAAAGCCUCGUGGGAUAAUUUACUUGGAGACAUGGGCGGCAGCUUUCGUUGCCACUGAACGUGGCCAAAUGAGGCAUCUCAAGCCGCAGAGGGUGCUGCUAAUGAGAAUGCCAUCAGCUGAUUUAUCCCUUUGACUAGAGGAACUUCUAUGACCCUGUCGCAUGAGUCCACAGAGCAGCUGUCUGUGCCCCUGGACCUGUUCUCCAAGAGGAAAUGUUUAUAAACUACAUUAAUAUUUCAGGCUCGCCUGAGGAGCCAGUUGGCCUUUUGUUCACUCGUGCAUUACUCAAACCACAAUCAGCCCUAUGACUGAGUGACAGCAACUUCUCUGUCUCGGUUUAAAAGAAACUCCACAUCAAAGGGUAUCCAUCCAAGCCAAGGAAGGCCUUCGUAUAUAUUUGAAAACACAAUAACAUAGGAAUUAUGAAACAUACAGGCUUCAAAGCAGCAACAUCCCUUCCCCUGCCUACGAAACAUCAUGUGACCAAUACAGCUUAACCGUCCCACCAAGAGAGUUGAGUGAAUUUGGUAUUGAUGAAACGUGGUGGAUUGACAGCCUUGGGCCAGUUCUGCACUAGAGAUCUGAGCCAUUGGUAAUCUGACUGGUACCAUUGCAUUUAGGGUAAAUUGGCUGAAAUUGGCAACAAGGGGCCAGUCGCCGUGAUGGGUGUGGCUGGUAAAGGUGGAUUGCAAAGUCUCAUUACAAUUGAAAAUGAUUAGAGUAAACUUCAGAGGAUGCACACAGCCACCUCUGAUGUAAGACCUUUUUCAACUGUACAUUCAUAAUAAGUCUCCCUUAACUCAUGUGUUCAGUUUCUGUUACUUGAAAACGUGGUGUUAAAGUAUAAAUAUUAUAGCCAGUUACUUCAUUCUAUCAUUCAUUUAUUGUGUGUUGUGUGAUGUUAAGUUUACCUAACAUACCAUGUAAUAUAUAAUCAUUGUAUGUUGAAUAGACUGAAGUGGUAGGAUUAUAGACGUAUAAGAUUGAUCAGUAAUUAGAAGGGAUAAAUAUGUAUUAGGUAUCUAAGUAAAUAGGGCUGAAAUGUGAGGCCUACAGGCUGAGGCCUGUAUGAUUUUAGCUUAGCCAUACUAGGCCUUGGAAUUAAGAAAUGCUUGACAUAAGUAAGUGACCAAAGAAUAACCCGAUGCCAUAAGAUUACAGGGGAAAAAUGUACCAAUGGGUGAUAUUGCGAAAAAUUAGCCGUAAGAUUCAUUUUAGAUCACAAAAUGCCCGAGAGGUACCUUUUUUCUAACACAUGCUUUACCCGCAGGAUGCAGGUUGUGCGUCAGUACUAACGAGAAUAAAAGGAACUACACACAACCUAUGAGAAAUGCGGUACCCCAAUAUUCUUGGAGACACAAUAUAAAUGAGGAAAAAGAGGGUUGACACUUUCACGCACAGGCAUAGUCAGAAUCACAUUGAAAAAGAGGGUGCCCAGAUUGGGAAAAUUGAGUUCCCUAUGGGAAAAUUCCAGCAGGAACCAUCCCUUUCCUGAUGAUCAAUUAAUGAGAGAUCCAUCAGACCGUAAGACUGUCUAGGAGGAUGUGAGUAUGACUGUAGCUAUAAUUUGUGCGUGGAUAUGUGUAGGAUUUAUCUAUACUUGGAUAGUCAUAACUUUGCAUGUAACUUUAAUAAAAUUUAGAAAGCCUAUUAGACAUUGUUCUUGUGACUGUCUGUGUUGCUUUCCUUGUUCCUAGAGGCUCUAGAUCUGAAACAAGUGGCAGAGGUAACUUUCAUUCUGUUGAGACUGAGACCGUAGCCAGUGUAAAACGACAUUAUUAAAUCCACUUUAACUAAAAUAAAAGGUCACAAUAUCCCUGCAUUCUGGUCUGAAACGAUGGGAAUCAAGCAGCAUGGAUACAAUGCAUCAGAAGAGAAGAAAGCAUGCCAUAUAAAGAGGUGUGACCAAAGCAUUUCUGGAUCUCGCAUCUAUGGAAUGCAGGUAGGAAGGACUUUUGGUCUCUUGACCCCUUCAGUAUUUCUGUUCUUCAAAACAAGCACAAGGAAUUAUCACGUAGAGUUUACUAAGGGCCACGUUCUUAGCUGGUAUAAACUGGGGCAGCUUCAUUCUUCACCUCAAUCGAGCAUCACCAUUUUACACCAACUAAGAAUCUGGCCCUAGAAACAUUGCUCUGAUUCUCCACCCACACUGUUCACUGUU